rnacentral:lncRNA from 1 species
AGAGCCACGUCAUCCCGAUCAAAAAAGAAGCCCAGAGAGAGGUAGGUGUAGGAGGCCCGCAGGUGCAAGUUGACCAGGCGGUUCACGGCAGCUUCCACCUCGGUGGAAUAAUUCUGACGAAUCUGAGAGGUCAUGGCUGAUCCGGAGUAGGAGCUAACCGCGAAGAGACGGUGCAGACUGGUCCUAGGAGCCGAAGGCAGCGAGGAGAUGGUCCCGGAGGCUGCGACUGGAGAGACUUGUAAAGGCGGCUGGAAGCGAGUACAGUGGGAAUCCCCGGGUCUGUUCCGUUCAAACACUGUUGAAGCAAGACACAGAUCCACGGGACCUCCAAGGCGCUGCUCCUAAAGUUAUCUCUUAAGAGUCCACAUGCUGAAUGUAUGGGAGCAGGAGAAGAAAGCAGAAGGAUCAGUUUCAACCACGACACAGUAGACACAAAGAAUAAAAUUUGUCCUGUCUAAAAGAAAUGCAGGGGCAAAGCUGGAGUAGAGAUGGAGUGGAUGGCCAAGAAAAACUCACCCAAUUAGAGACCUAUCCCAAGGGCAAGCGCCAUUCCAUGACAUUAUUAAGGAUACUCUGCUAUAUAAUUGUCCAUUGAGAGGCUCCACCCAGCAGCUGACUGACUCAGAAGCAGAGAACCACAGUCAAACAUUGAGUGGAUCUU